rnacentral:tmRNA from 1 species
GGGAGUGUCAAGGUUUCGACAGGGUAAAAAGGUUACUGUCAGCAGGUAAGCGGGAGCUUUAAAAUCCAACCAAACAAUAAUCGGAAACGAUAAUUACGCAUUAGCUGCCUAAUAAGGCGGCUCACCCUGACUAGAGAUGCUGUUGCUCUUAUCAGCGGUGUCAUUUUUAACAGCUUACUCUUUCCGAUGUCUAUAACGGAAGAGGAAAUUUUAUAGACUCGCUUUGUGACUUUUGUUUGUUUAAUAUCACACUGUUAAAAAUGAUAAACAGACUAAACCUGUAGAAGACGGUAGUCGGCUUUUACUUUGGACGCGGGUUCAAUUCCCGCCACUUCCACCA